AGCAAGUUCUGUGUUACAACGUUCCAAAAUGGAAGUAAAAAAGAGAAAAUUCGAUUCAUUCCUCAGUAUCACUACGAACAAGGUGAAAAGGCAAAGAAGAAAGAUGCUUCCUCUCUUGAUCUUCGCUUCUCUCCUUGUCAUGGUAAAUAGUGAAUAUGAGUGUGGGGAUGUAUUCUUGGAUAUGUACAACAACAAUACACAAGCACUGAAAAGAUUACCUCCUUGCUCUGUGGAUGAAGACUGUCCCAAAUAUCAUAUUUGCAUCUUCUCUGAAUUCGGGAAAUCAGAAUGUAAAAUAGCGGGAUUGACGGACUUUGACUGCGGAGUAAAAGGAUACGAGGGAAAUUUUUCCCAAAUCACACUGUUUGUAUCGAACAAGACAGUAAAACAAAUCAUUUAACCCAUCCAGAUAUCUCAGUAUUCCAUUGUGUGGAGACCGGUAAGGGCUACCGUUGUGCGAAUGCUUUUGGAAACACAUGUUCGGAUAUGUAUGAUGCUCAUGGCCGGAUAUUAAUGAGAAAGACAUGUCCAAGUAAUUUCAGAUGUUCCCUAAAAAGGUUCAAGGAUGGCUAUGAAAAUGUGUGUCUUCCUCAGUAUGUAGAACAUGAUGGGAAUUGCAACAAAGACAGUGAUUGUGCAUUUUCAACCUUAACAUUUAGAUGGAUAGAGUGUAUUGAUCAUCAAUGUAGCUGCUAAUAUCCUCUACUAAUCUUAAGAAGUUGUCAAAUAAACUUAUUUUCAAAUAAAUGUUUAUAAAAAAA
rnacentral:lncRNA from 1 species